UACGUAGGGUGCAAGCGUUGUCCGGAAUUAUUGGGCGUAAAGAGCUCGUAGGCGGCUUGUCGCGUCGACCGUGAAAACUUGGGGCUCAACCCUAAGCCUGCGGUCGAUACGGGCAGGCUCGAGUUCGGUAGGGGAGACUGGAAUUCCUGGUGUAGCGGUGAAAUGCGCAGAUAUCAGGAGGAACACCGGUGGCGAAGGCGGGUCUCUGGGCCGAUACUGACGCUGAGGAGCGAAAGCGUGGGGAGCGAACGGG
rnacentral:rRNA from 1 species